AGUGGUCUGGUGGGUAGGGAACUCUGGAGGAACUCUCGUUUCCCAAGUUGCUCUGGAAAGGUUGAGGGCCUGGGAUACAUGACCCCUAACUAAGGGGCAGUAUGGUGGUACCAUAGGAUUGAUACUUUAUCUAAUGGGGGAGAGGGGCUGGUUGGGGUUUGAAGGAUUCUGAGUCUCUGUAAUGCCCUCUUCCCCUCCUCUUCCCCUGCAUCCUAGAAUGCUGGUGAAAAAGGUCAGAAAGGGGAGCCAGCAGUUAUUGAACUGGGCCAGCAGUUUGAGGGACCCCCAGGACUUCCAGGGCCUUUGGGAAUAG
rnacentral:lncRNA from 1 species